AUUAGAUAAAAAACCAAUGCCCUUCGGGGCUUUCUGGUGAUUCAUAAUAACUAAACGAAUCGCAUGGCCUUGAGCCGGCGAUGGUUCAUUCAAAUUUCUGCCCUAUCAACUUUCGAUUGUAGGAUAGAGGCCUACAAUGGUUUCGACGGGUAACGGAGAAUUAGGGUUCGGUUCCGGAGAGGGAGCCUGAGAAACGGCUACCACAUCCAAGGAAGGCAGCAGGCGCGCAAAUUACCCAAUCCCGACACGGGGAGGUAGUGACAAUAAAUACUGAUACAGGGCUCUUUUGGGUCUUGUAAUUGGAAUGAGUACAAUUUAAAUCCCUUAACGAGGAACAAUUGGAGGGCAAGUCUGGUGCCAGCAGCCGCGGUAAUUCCAGCUCCAAUAGCGUAUCUUAAAGUUGUUGCAGUUAAAAAGCUCGUAGUUGAACCUUGGGUCUGGCUGGCCGGUCCGCCUUACCGCGUGCACUGGUCCGGCCGGACCUUUCCUCUUGGGGAUCCGCAUGCCCUUUACUGGG
rnacentral:rRNA from 1 species